rnacentral:ncRNA from 2 species
AUUGCAUACGGGGGAACAGGUUCCUUGCGGCGAUUCGCUGCUAAGGAUAAUAGGGAAGCUCGGUGCAAAUCCGACACGGUCCCGCCACUGUAAGAGGGGAGUUUCGCGCACACAGGCCACUUGUCCAGCCGCUGGACAGGGAAGGCAGCGCCAGACGAUGAUCCCGAAGUCAGGAGACCUGCCUGUUUCAACAACACUGA